rnacentral:rRNA from 1 species
UACGUAGGGGGCGAGCGUUAUCCGGAUUCACUGGGUGUAAAGGGAGCGUAGACGGCAGAGCUAGUCUGAAGUGAAAGCCCGCGGCCCAACUGCGGGACUGCUUUGGAAACUGCCCGGCUAGAGUGCUGGAGAGGUAAGCGGAAUUCCUAGUGUAGCGGUGAAAUGCGUAGAUAUUAGGAGGAACACCAGUGGCGAAGGCGGCUUACUGGACAGUAACUGACGUUGAGGCUCGAAAGCGUGGGGAGCAAACAGG